rnacentral:lncRNA from 1 species
CUUUUUUUUUUUUUUUUUUUUUGCUGGUACACGGGAUUGAACCCAUGACCUUCACACUGAGCUAUGUCCCCAAUCCUUUUUAUUUUGAGAUGGUCUCAUCAGGUCUAACAAAAGGGAACUUUUGUGUUCAGGGAUGAGCUUGUAGUGGUUUUCCCAAAGCAGCUUUAUGAGACCUGUUACAUUCUAUUACCAUAGAGAAGGCAUGGUGGUUCAUGCCUGUAAUCCUAGCAGUCUGGAGGUUAAGGCAGGAGGAACUAGAGUUCAGAGCCUAGGCUGCAUAGUGAGACCCUGUCUAAAAAGACAAACAAAUGAAACAACUUAAUCUUCCAUAGGAAAGCUAAAGAAGAUGCUCAGACAACCGAGAAAACAUGAGAAAGAAAAGUCCACUACUGCAGUGAAUGGUUCACACGGACAGUAGACACCGUGAGUCCCAGCCUCACAGAACAUCAGGGCUGGAGGAGGCCUCAUAGAUGACCCCGUCCAAUUCCUUUGUACCGCACGUGUGGGACCUGGAGCCUGAGGAGAAAUGCCCACCUGAAGUUACAAAGCGAAAAAUGGCAGAGCCCUGGACUACAUCUUGUCUCCCAUUAGUAACUCAGCAGGGUUUUGGAGAACCUGAAGGAAAUACUUUGGGUUUUAUCUUCAGUGUGUGUCCAGUCCCAACCACUGUUCCACCUCCUCCGCUACUACUCUGGACUGAGUCUUGAUCAUCUCUCAAAUGAAUUACUGCCAGUGAAAAACACCCGUGCCUUCCUGUAGUGUACUCUCAGUAAACCGGUAAGUGAGCUUUGCAAAAAGUUAAUCAGGUCACAUACUUCUCCUUCUGAACCCCACGUUGGCUCCCAACAUGGGGGUGAGAGCCACAGGACUUGCAGUGAUUUAAAAGGAGCUAUAAAAUCUGGCUUCCAGCUGGAUGUGGUGGUGCAGGCCUGUAAUCCCAGAAUUCUAGGAGGCUGAAGCAGGAGGACUGCAAAUCUGAGCACAGUUUAGGCAAAUUAGCAAUUUACAAUCCCUGCUCAGGGCUGGGGAUAUAGCUCAGCGGCACAAGUGCCUGCCUGGCAAGCGCAAGGUCAUGAGUUCAAUUCCCAGUACCAAAAACCAACAACAACAACAAAAACGAUCCCAGCUCAAAAGAGGGGGCUGGGGCUGGAGCUGUAACUCUGUGUAAAGGUCCUGGG